AGCGAACGCUAGCGGCGGGCUUAACACAUGCAAGUCGAGUGCGUGGCUUCGGCCACGAGCGGCGAACGGGUGAGUAACACGUAGGUCAUCUGCCCUUUGGUGGGGAAUAACCCGAGGAAACUCGGGCUAAUACCGCAUACGGCCUGGUCAAGGCUCGCCGCCAGAGGAUGAGCCUGCGUCGCAUUACCUAGUUGGUGGGUAAGUGGCCGACCAAGGGACGGAUGCGUAGCUGGUCUGAGAGGAUGAUCAGCCACACUGGGACUGAGACACGGCCCAGACUCCUACGGGAGGCAGCAGUGGGAGUAUUGCGCAAUGGGGAAACCCUGACGCAGCCACGCCGCGUGGGUGAUGAAGGCCCUCGGGUUGUAAAGCCCUGUCGGGGGGGACGGAAUACUGACGGUACCCUCCAAGAAAGCACCGGCUAACUCCGUGCCAGCAGCCGC
rnacentral:rRNA from 1 species